CCAAAGUUCUAACGGAAAAAUUAUAAAAUGGUUAAAUUUCAACCGCAAUAUGUUACAAUAUAGUGGCCAUCUUUGGACGCGCAGUUCGCUAGUUUUUCUUACGCGCUGCCGGCUGAGUUCAACUGAAUUUAGUUGGUGAAGGAGUGUACAGCUCCAGGAGUAUUAAAUAUUUGAUAACAAUACGGAACAACCGGAACCUCGGCAGAAAGCUCUGAAAUAGCUAGCUGUUUUGAGGGAGAACAACCGAUCGGCUCUAGGAUUUGGAUCAGGUGCUUCCAGUCAGAAAACAGGAAUGGUAGAUGGCAGCAAUACCAACGAUAGCGAUGCGGAAGAAAUGACCAGCAGAGCACUUCCUCCGAGUCUGUCCGAUUCGAAAAACUCAGUAGAAACCCGACACUGAAAAAAGAGAGCAGUGGGCGCAGGAUCAGGUACAUUCAUCGGGGAAAAGGCAGUAGCGCUUAUCCGGAGUGGUGGCAGCAGUGACCGACUGAAUACCUGAGAACCAUUUAAUCGACGGGUUCCUCACUUCAUAUCUUCUUCAUUGCCAACAUCCGAUUGUGGAGGUUACCGGAACAAGUUCAUAAUGGAACCGUUUUUAUUAACCAAUAAAAGAUCCUACGAAAAA